CUAGCUACUUGUGCAAACCAUGCUGCAUUAUUCUGCUCAUACAAUGCAACAUCACACUAGUAAUUAUCAAAAAGGGGUAGGGCAAUCAAAAAUAAAGCCACUUAUUGUUUAUCUUUUCACACACAUUGCUGAGCUGCCUGCCCCUCCCACUAUUGGUGGCUUUCUCUGUGUCGCUGUCAAACCCCAGGGUUCAUUCAUGUCUAUUAUACUAACAAAUUAAAUGAAACUGAGAGCCUCAUUGGCCUUCAAUGUUAGAAACAGUCUGGGUUAGAAUCAUCCAGACAGUUGGGCAAGAUGUAGGGCUGGCAGGAAUAGAGCAGAGGCAGAGGGACACAAGUCACUGAUAGGAUAGGUUUAGAUUUUAGCUACUGAUGGAUGUUACAGAGCUUGCUUUGUGUUUGUUGGACCUACUGAUGGAUACCUGGAGAGAAACAACAUGAGGAGUCCAUGGAUGCCUUGUAAACAUAGAUGUUGCUCAAAAACUACAACAGCUGACAGGGCAUGAGAGAGGAGCCCCCAAUAACCAAUGGCCCAAGUCAUCUCCCAGAUAUCUCCAAAUGAAGAACUGAUGGACCCGUCCAUAAAUGCCCGAAGCUCUUCCUAGAACACCUCAGAUUUAAACUCUUACUGACUGAGGGAGAUGGGUCCUUUAUGAAAAUCUGGAUUUGAUGUGUCUUCCUCCAUUGUCGGAGUCCCAGAAGAUGACAGGAAAACACAGAGUGGACCAACUUAAGAACAAUGUGAACCGGACUUCAAAAGUUACAAUGGCCGAACUGAUUAAUGUACGCAAUAGAAAUCGCAUUCCUGAAUAAUGGACUAUGAAAUUUCUGGUUUUUUUUUUAUACAGUUUAAAAUGUAGUACAGAGAGAAAAUACAGAUCCCUAAAACUGUGAUUUUUCUGUUUAUAAUAAUCAGGACAAGUAAAUUUUGAGUCUAUACACAGCAAUGCCUCUUUUUUACCCAACAGACAAACUCUGACAGCCUUGGCAGAAGAAUAAACAACCAUCUGUUAAAAAAUUAACGUAAUAUUUAUUUUAGUAUAUAUUUUAGUUGAAACCAGGGGUUUUCAUCAGAAAAACAACUGUAUUCCUUUUGCUAAUUAUAUUUAAUGUUAACAAUUAAAUUUGUUUGUUGUUUUGACUUUCAAGCAUAGAUUUAAGCAUAUAUAUAGAUUAGAAAGCUGACACAUUCAGAUGUUUUUCUUAAGUUCUUACACGAAGGAUUAUGAACCUUUCUGCUCUUCUGAAUAUAGAGUAAUACAAGUUAAAUACGGUGAUAUUAGCUGGUUAUUUAGUCUGGCUAUCUGCUCAGGCUACCAGCCUGCAGUCUGCUGCUUUACAGACAUGCUGCUGGGAGUUUACUAGCUGUGGUUUUGAAACAUCUUGAUCAGAAACAUUUCUAAACCAAAUUAGUCCUUCUUUUAAGCGAGUAAAAAGUGUAUUCUGAUUUUCAGCCGCUCGACUGACAUCUGUAUACCUUGAUGCUAGGAACCAGUUCGUGUCAUAUCAUUGCCACCAAUACAAAUAUUCCAAUACAGACUUCCUCAUCUUUGAUCUAGAAACUGUUUCUGACUGGGAUAAUUUACCAGUAUACUACCACUGAGAUGACUGACUCACUUCAGAUUAAGGGACGUGUGGAAAACUGUUCAUUUGGACUAAUCCCUGUGUGGGUUUUACAGAUGCCUUAGCUUGAUCAGUGUUAAAUCAGUGUUCUGAUGGUAAAUGCUGUUAGUCUUUGUUUAUUUGUUUAUGUGCUAGUAUUAUGCUCUCAUUAACUCAGUCUUCCAAUGUUUAGAAAAAAGGUGCUGCUGCGGGCUUUUAUAAUUAUCACUUUUUGACAUCAACCUGCGGCAAGUUAGGAUGGUAGAAAGUGACAGACAGGAGCUAAAACAGAAAUAUGAUGUGAUAAAUUUAAUGCCUGCCACAGGGGUUUCCCUUUUCUCUUCAUAUGUCCCACAAAGCCGUCAGCUCUCAAAGGUCAAACCGCUCUAGACUGUAUUGUAAAUUAAACGACCAAAAUGGUCCUGGAAUUACAAUCACUCUGGAUUAAGCUGAUUCUCUGUCUCAGCUGUCAAAUGAUUCCUCAAUAUAUACCUCAAAGCUGAACACCGGAGGUAAUUUAUUAAGCCUUUUGACAAACUGCCUUGCCUCUCCUUCCUGGAUCAAUACAUAAAUAAAUACUACAUUAGUAAAUAGAGCUACAUGUUGUUUCUGACAGGAUAUAAUUAUUUGGUCUAUGUAAAAUAUUUCUGUCCAUUUCCUGACCUGAUUUCUGCUUCAAGGGCGCAUGUGUGGUAUCCGAGUCUGUUAGAGCAAUCACACAAUGGAGUCCUCUUAACGAGCAAUACAGCAGCUAAGGAGGAAAAUCUAGCCAUGCCAACAUGGUUCACCAGCUCGCUGAGAGGCGGGCAGCACCUGACAGAUGCCACUUUGGGGGCAUAAUCCCAGAGGGAUCCAAAGAGGCGGCACCUGACGGGAAGCCGAGGGAUCAGGAGGAUGAUGGAAUACCAAACCACAAAUUACAGUUAUGUUGUCUAUUCCAUACAUAUGUUUUUGUGUGUGGGUAUGUCUUUGAUUACUUGUAAAGCCUAAGUGUUUCAAAGAAAAAUUUUUUUUAGAUCAGACAAAGAUAACCAACCAUCCAGACCUAGUGGUCCUGGUAUAGAUAAGUAGAUCCACCCUCCCUUCUUAAAUCAUGGAUAAACUGAAUUAACUACAUUUUUAACAGCUGAGUUCAGGUUAACCAGCUACACCCAAGCCUGCUCAUUGUCAUAACUGUAUAAUCAGGAAAUCGCUUAAACAGAACCUGCCUAACAGUAACAAGUUGGCUAAAAGAUCCCAAAACGCAAUAUGUUAUUCUGUUAUCUUCCGAAAUUUAAGGGCAGAUUUUAAACAAAGUCGGGAAAGGGUUUUAAAUCCAUUUUUAAUGCUUUGGGACUCCUGGGAACCACAGUGAGAGACAAACCUUCUCAGAAGAGGUCAGCCAACCAAAAUUACUCCAAUACACCCAGGAGGUUAAAAAGAAAUCAGAACAACAUCUAAAGCUCUGCAGGCCUCACGUGUUAAGGCAAUAACAGCAUCUAUGGGACAACCAAAAUCACCGUGAUCACCUUAAGACUUUUAGAAAUAUAUCUUGUGGACUGAUGACACAAAAGUGGAUUUCUUUGGAAAGGUGAGCUUCCUGUUACAUAAGCUGUAAAACUAACAGAACAUUUCAGAAAACUAACUUGAUGCCAGCUGUCAAACAUCGUGGAGGUAUAGUUUGAUGGUUUAGGGCUGCUUUGCUGCUUCAAGACUUGGGAGACUUGUUAGACUUGAUGCAAGCAUUAAUUCUGCUUUCUACUGGAAAACCAAGAAGCAGAAUGUCUGCCAUUCAGUUUGUGACCUUAAUCUCUAGGGUUGUGCAGCAGUACAAUGAUCCAAAACACGCUGCUAAGUCCACCUCUCAAUUGAUUUAAAAAAGGGUUUGGAGAGGCCUAGUCAAAGCCUAGACUUAAAUCAGAUUUGGAUGCUGGGGUAUGACUUUUAAAAGGCCAUUCCUGCUCAAAAACCACAAUGUGGCUGAAUUAAAUUAUUGUGUCUCCAAGAAGAAUGAGCUGACAUCUCUCGACAGCUAUAAGACUCCCUGGCAGAUUUUGUCGCCAAGGUUAAGGGUGCAAUUAGUUUUUCCCAUAGGGCCAGGUUGGUUUGGAUAGCUUCUUUUUCUUAAUACAUGAAAUAUUGAUUUAAAAUUAGCUUUUUGUAUUUAAUCAGGUUAUCUUUGUCUGGUAAAAAAAAUGUGUUGGAUCAUCUAAGUGAAGAAAUCUAUUUAGUGGCAAACACUUUUUUACAUUAUUGUAUAGGCUUUCCGAAUUUUUCACAUGUUCAAUGGAUGCAUAUGUGUAAUAUUAAACAAAAGCAGUACAUUUAAGUUUAAUAAUGUAAAACCUAUCUUUGUGUUCUUAGUUCCCAGCAAGUCUUUUAUUGUGAGAGAUAUACACAACCCUAUUUCAAAGAAAAAACUCCAUGAGUUACGGAUAUUUUUUAAAGGCCUUCUUUAAAUUGUAUUAAUUAUUCCUAUUUUCAUAAUAACACAUUUACAACCAGAGUAAAAUGGGUUUGUGUAAUAAAAUUUUUGCUAUUGUGGUAAACUAGAACUGCAUUAAAUAAAAGAGAAUAAAAUCAUCUGACAUUUUGAAAGUGAUCUUUCAUAGGUAAUGAUGGACUAAAUAAAUAUAAAACCCAAGCAGGAGAAGCAAUCCUGGGCCUGCUGCUGCAGGCCUGCCUGGUUCUGCUUCUGGAGCAGAAUUCUGUCUCGUUAAUUGAUUAAAAUGUGGCCAUUAAAAGUCUGCGACAUGUCGAACAUUUAUUAUAGGAUUACUGUAGGCUUUUUUUUCUGUCCUCCUGUUUUUUUUUUUUAGCGCUGCUGAAACAAACAAAAGAUGUCCUUUGAAUGGCACGUGCUCCAAGCGUCAGUCACCUGUUUCCUAGC